rnacentral:tRNA from 1 species
CGUCUCCAGUAGGGAUCGAACCUACAGGCCCAAAGGGCACAGCUUUCCAGACUGCUGCAAUACCAUUAUGCUUAUGGAGAC